AGCGGCGCCUCGGAGGCCUCACAAUAUGAGAUUACACUUACAGCAGCACUUUGUUUACUGCCUAGCAUGGUGAAGGAGCGCAUGGAAGCCUUCAUUUGCUCUUCUGACCCCACAGUGGUGCAUUAACUGCCCACUAUUACGUUAGAAGGUG
rnacentral:lncRNA from 1 species